CCAAGGGUGGAGCAGGGAUCACUGCAGGGAGCAAUCCUGAGGCUCCUCCAAGGAUGUCGCUGCUGACCUGCGAGGGACGUGAGGAGGGACAGCUCCGCUCCUCGCCGCUCUUCGCCGCCGCUCCGCCUCCCCCCGCGCCAAACCCUCUGCAAAGGGAGGCUCGUCCUCUGGGGAACCGCGGGGCUCAACACCAGGGCAGCAGCAGCAGCAAAGGGAGUCUGCCAACUGCUGGCACGGGGGGGGAGGGGGGCAUUGCAGGCCACAGGGGGAAGAAACCCCACACUUGCUCUAAUCUAACACACCUCAAAAGAGACCUGGCAGCAUUUAGGGACUUUCAAACCCAGAAGAGGAUUUCGAAGGAGUAGCAUCUUCCCUGGCAGGGCCUGCACAGUACCAGGGCUGUGCCCACCCCUGCCCCUGAUGGGAUCAGCCAUCUCCAGCAGGGCCCAGCAAAUAGAACUCACAAAGACCACGAGAGCAAAGAAAAAGGCAAUUGAGUUAUCUGAUGGUUAAUAGCCUUCCUUCACUCUGCCUUGUCUUUACCUCUGAUUUUUAAAGAGUGUUUUAAAUUCAGUUAACUACACAGAACUGUCAGACAAAGCCAACUCCUUAACCCAAGGGAAAUAAAUCACGUGGCACCAGAA